AAAAGAAGCUGUCAUCCACACCCACCUUCCCUGCACAAAGUUUGUUCACUGCGACGAAGAUUUGACAAAAUUUACGAAAAUCACUCUGCCCCAAUAAUUCUCCCCAAAAUCGGUCUCGCCGAUUCGAAUUCCUUCAACCCAGAACAUUUUUCGGCAGAUGAGAGUGGAAUUAAUGGCGGCGGAGAGCAGUAGUAGUCGGGGGAAAAAAGAGGCGGCGGCAGCAUUACCGAAUUCCCCUCCUCAAAACAACGACGUCGAAGAUCCCAUCAAAUCCCCUCCUCAUUCGCUCAACAAUUCCUCCGGCCGCAAUGUUUACUCUUCUAGCACUCAAUUUUCAUACUCUCUGUUUAUUUAAUCCAAAUUUUUUUUGGGGAUAUUUUCUACUGAUUCGUUGUUAUUGAAAUAGUUGAUUGCACGAAUUAAAGCUUGGUUAUCUCUUGACGGAAUUUUGGUAGAUUUUCUGUUAAGUACGAUGAAAUAUUGAUAUCGUCACAGAUUAAUCACUACCACCCAUGUGUUUUUGGAGACAGUAAAAUAAAAAUUAUUGGAUUAAGAGGAAAUAAAUUAAGGACUGGAUGUAAGGAAUUCUUCCAUUGGAUUGGAUUUUUUUUUCAGGGAAGGUGGGUG
rnacentral:lncRNA from 1 species